GUGCCCAUUUCAGCAGCACAUAAACUAAUGUUGGAACAAUACAGAGAAGUCUAGCAUGAACCCUGUGCAAGGGUAUCACACAAAUUCGCAAAGUAUACCAUAUGUUU